CGGGUGCUGGGCACCAACUUCAGGGACUACGCGAUAGUGUUCACACAGCUGGAGGCCCAGGAGGAGGCCUUCAGCACCGUGGAGUUGUACAGCCGGACGCCCCUGGCCAGUCAGGAGGCCCUGGGCCGCUUCGCCAAGUGGAGCCGGAGCCUGGGCUUCCUGUCGCAGCAGCAGGCCGAGCUCCAGAGGGACUUCACCUGCGCACACAAGGUCUUCCCGUGAAUGCUGCACCCACCAGGGGCCCGGAGGAGGCUGGCCAGACACUGCCCUCCUCGCCCAGCCGCCCAGGGGCUGGGCGGGGGGCCACCUGCUCCCAGGCUCUUGCUGCGGAUUCAAAUAAAGCAGUUCCACAAACCCU
rnacentral:lncRNA from 1 species